CGCGCGACACGCCGCCCAUUGCCCCCCCCCCCCCGCAGGAAGGAGGCAAAACCAGAACGCGCGAAGGGAGGGGGCGGGCAACAGGCGCGCACUCGACCCCGCCCUAUCUGGCUCUCUGCCCGCGCCCGGCGACUUAGCGGGCUGCGCCGGGGCCGGGAUCACCCCACAGCCUCACCUCCAACCUCAGCCAAUCGGCUCGCGUUCCAGUAGCCAGGCUCCGCCGACAUACCCUCGUAAGCAAGAUUCGGCGGCAGCCAAUCAGAAACAACACUCACCCCCCCCCCCCCCGCGCGCUCUCUCUCUCUCUCUCUCUCUGGCGACCCUGGUAACAGAGGCGGCCGCUGCAGGGACACGUGGGACGGAGGGAGAUUGCCGUGCCGCGUUACCUAGACAACCGAUCAACCACAACACGGGGCGGGGGCCACGAAUGGGCGUCGAUCCCGGCCCGGCGCAGGCAGGUCGCGGCGCCUCCGCCGCUGUGUCACAGUCGCCCCGCCGUGGGAGAGUUCAGUGCCCUGGGUCGCAGGGAGACUUUGGUCCCAUCCUUGUACUGCAGGCACCCCCUACAUUUCUGCCAAGUCAGGAGCACGCCUAGUGCCCGCACAGCUAGCGCGCACAGGACCACGCCUAAGGCCCACACGCAGCCCUGGGCACAGGCAGAAAAGACACACAGCUAAGUAGAGCACUUGCGGAGAAUGCACACACCCAGAAAAACAGCGGCCAAAUUAAACGAAGACGUUGUCCUCUCUGACUCCUAGCCAACGUACAAAAGCCACCCUGAACUUUCCGGUGCCAUCUCAACCGCAGGGACAAACGAUCUGUCCGCUGCCAGGAAGCACUAGCAAGUCAAAAACUAAUUUUUCUGGAUGUGAGCCGACGGCUUGCAAUAUUCAAAUUCAAGUUAUUGGGAAGAACAGAUGAAAAACGACAAGCUGGCAUACUGCCAUACUGGCAGAUUACCCGUAGGCCACUGUGAAAUGCACAAAGAAAAUAAAAGAUGCCCCUGAAGAAGCCUUCAGGAGCUCAGUAUGGGAAGCGAAAAGUUCAACUGCAAUCUAGCAAGGGGCAAAUUUGAUGGGAAAAUAUCUGAAACAGAACAACAUAGACUGGGCCUUGGGCAGUAGCGAUUGUCCCAGUGCAGAAGAAAUUGAGGAGCAAAGCAUAAAUGAUAUAAAUCCUAUUACUAAGGAAUUAGCAGAUUUACCUGAAGAUAAGGAAUGGAAAUGCGAGGAAAGUGAUGGAGAAUCAUCCAGUUUUCCUGGCGGCGUAAAAGAGAUCAGGGUUGGAAGGGACCUCAGGAAGUCAUCUAGUUCAACCCCCUGCUCAAAGCAGGACCAAUCCCCGAUUUUUGCCCCAGAUCCCUAAAUGGCCCCCUCAAGGAUUGAACUCACAACCCUGGGCUUAGCAGGCCAAUGCUCAAACCACUGAGCUAUCCAAGUGAUGAUAAAGAAAAAUCUGGCUCACAUGAAAAGGAGAGAAGCAGCAAAGAAGAAUCAGCAUCACACAAUGACAGAAACAGCAGUGAGAAAAAUUGCACACCACAAAUCGAUACAUCAGAUCCCACUUUAUGGCCUGCAAUCCUAAAUUCUGCCGAUAUUCAUUGUACAAUUUUGAACGGGCUGGGCAAAAUCAAGGAGAUGAUAUUUCCAGUAAAUAAUCAGAUCAGAAGUGACACUUUUCAAAGUCACACUGUGAAAGAGUGCUCGAGAAUGGUGAGAAACUGAAUCAGCAUUGGCUAGUUUACUCAAAGUCAACUGACAAAGUGUUCUGGUUUUGUUUCAAAAUAUUUUAUAAGAAUGUCAAAUCAUUGCCUGAGCUUUCCAGGUACAAUUACUGGCAUAACUUAGCUGAUACUCUGAAGCAACAUGAAAAGUCACCCAGCCAUUUUACGGCCCACUCCAAAUGGAUGGAGGUUGAAUCCAGGCUCAAGCUGAAUAAAUGCCUAGAUGCAGAAAACCAGCACAUUAUUAAUGUAGAAACCCAGCACUGGAGGAACGUGCUCGAGCAUCUGAUCUCAACUACCCUCUUCCUUGCAAAGAAUAAUUUGGCUUUCUGGUGCUUGUUGGAUAAGUUGUUCACUGAACAUAACAAUAAUUUCCUUGGUUUGGUAGAACUUCUUGGGAAAUACAGUGAUAUCAUGUGUGAGCACUUAUGUUGAGUAAUUUGUAAAGAAGCUAUGGACCAUUACUGCAGCAAAACAAUUCAAAAUUAAUUGAUUGACCUUAUGGCAAGGAAGGUAUUCGAUAAGAUGUUAAUGUGGCUUGGCAAAGAGAAUUACUAUGCCAUAAUAAUGGACUGCACUUCCAACAUUAGUCACAGUGAGAAGAUAUCAUUUACAGUAAGAUUCGUUGACUAUUAGGAUGGCUGUAUCCAAAUAAAGGAACGUUUUAUCUGUUUCCAGUCUGUGGACAAUUCUACUGGAAAAGACCUAACAGAACUGUUUAAGAACAUUUUGAAUGAGAAUAAAAUAAAGUUCAGGAGUGCCAUGGUCCAGACUACAACAACGGUGCGAACAUGAAGGGAAGAAACAGCGACAUCCAGGCAAGGAUCCUUGUGCUGAAUCCAAGAGCUUCCUUCAUGCCUUGUGGUAAAUCAUGCAUGCAGAUCGUGCAUCAAAGUCAUGAAAUGGGCUACAAAUGCCAUAAAAAUAAGGUAUUCAAAAGUUCAACAAAUGGGGGGUUAGGGGGUGGGGAAAAAACAUUUCUCGCCUGGAGCGCCAUUUGAUCUAGGGCUGGCCCUGAAUAUAGUCAGCUGGUGCAGGUGAGGGGCUACUAAGUUUCAUUCUGUUCCUAUUUAAUCUAUAUUUUUGGUCUCUGUGUACAGUUGUGGAAUGAUUACUUCACUUAGGGUGGCAAUGCAAAUGUAUACAGUUAACAUGUCCAUCUCAUCCCGUCCCUUUGUAACCUGUUGUCAAGGUAUACUAAACUCGGACCCAAGAAAGUUUGUUGCUUCAAAUCCAAAAUGACCAUAAGGAAAUUUAACAUUAUAAAUGAUGUCUCUUGGUGAGUUUCAGAUCAUCAAUACUGUAGUUUCAGGCACCGAUGGCCAAGGUCAUGAGAAAUCAGUUUAAAACGUGAAAGAAAUUUGUGGACCAAUUUGUCUGAGUCCUGCUGAAAUCCAGGGGAUAAUUUGUAUCUGUUCUACAGAGAUUUAGCUACAUCUCUUCUAGUUUUCACAUAACUGUUUUUUAUGCCUAAUCCUUCAAGCUCUUUGUAAGGGGACUAGUUCGUAUGCCAAGGCCUUAUAGUAUUAUGCCCAAAUUUGGAGAAAAAAAAGUGAGAAUAUUGCAAUGCCUCUGUAACAUAAAAUAACUAAUGCAGAGAAAACAAACAACAAUAAUUUAGCAACAGAGCACAAUUAAAUAACAAUACUACAGUGUUUUCCUCAGGCAAAAAUAAUAAAAAAGUCUCACUGUACUAGAAUGUCCUUGGAGUUAGAAGCAGCAUUAGGUACACACACAACCCAAGGAGGUGGGGGCGUGGGAGUGGCCUCAAAAGUAUGGGUCAGUGAGCAACAUUUCACUUGUGUUGGUGGAGAGGAACAGAAGCUAAAGGUAACAGAGUGCAGAGUGUGGAUGCACGGGGAGAAGUGACUCUGAAGAAUGAUCCUCCCAAGCUGAUAGAAACCUCCAUGUAAGAUUCUGAGCAGGCUGGGGCUCCGUAGCUCAGAAAAGAAUUGGGAAUAGGGAACAGCUGUUCUCUGUGGCAUGUCCCCCUUCCAAAUCUCAACUGGAAUGCAUGCUGCUAGGAGAAGAAUUAACAUCAGCUCCAUGAUGUCCCUUCUCCAUUGAAUACAACUGUAAUGAACACCAAUAAAAAUAAAAAUAUUUAGUUAGAUUGCAAAAGGUUUGUAUGAAGAGCAUUCCCUUUUGGUCUAAUAAAGCAUAGGCUGAGAGUCACUUGAUUUUUGCAUUCCUUGAGGAAUUCUCAAAUUAAAUCUUGCAAGGGCGUCUUAACAUUAAGAUAGUGAUGUGCUAUCGUCAUUUUGGAUGUGCAAUCAGCAAGUGGGAGCAUUUUUGUAGCAUCUCCUCCUAAAGAGGAAGCCAACUUUGUGGAGUGGAGGCAAAAUCUCCUUCUGUUUUUAUCCCAAAUAGCCUUUAGUUAGUCAUCAUUUAUUUUCAGGUACUGGAAUCAAUCUUAAACAGUGCUCAACCAGCAUUACAAGGACAAAAAAAAUAAAAAUAAUAAUAAACAUAUUGCAGAACCAACAUGCCAUUUGCUGCCAUCAUAUUGUUCACUGUUUGUGUGUUAUAGCCCUUCUCCCACUUUGUGUCUUGUCUUGUCUAUGUAGACUGCUCUUUAGGGCAGGGAUUGGGGCUUAGUCUAUAUUUGUACAGUACCUGGCACUAUGGGGCUUAGUUCUCAGAUUGCCCUUAGGCACUGCCAUAAUAAGCAUGAUAAUUAAUAGUAUGGAUUGAGCCGGAGAGCGCAGAAUUGCCCAGAGAUUUUUCUCUUUUUCAUACUAAUAUGAGUUUACAAACAAAAAAUCCCUUGGGAAGAACAGACCCCAGUAUUGAGCGUGAUCUAGUCUUAGUUACACCAGCAUAAAUCAGGAGUAAAUCCACAACAUCAAUGUUAUUUCACUAGUAUAAAAUUAGUGCCGGGGAGAGGAGAACAAAGCCCCUUGUUUUUAAUUAGCAAAACCCUUAUUUGCAGGGAUUUGUUUCAUUCUGGACCAAAACAUGGCUUGCAAACUCGUAGCUCAAGGUUUAAGGCAUUUUUUUGAAGAAGGAAAAAAAAAUCAAUUUGGCUGUUUUCAAGUCUCCCAAAGCAGGGAUUCAGGAAUCUGAGUUAAUCUGAACGGGGUUUGUGGAGAUUUCAUCCAGCCUUUCCUUCCGGCCAUCAUUUAAAUCCCCUCCUACCAUCCUCCAUGCAAGCUGCAACGGCAUCAUCAUAAUAACCCUAUGACCGAGAGGGAUGAGAAUCUCCACCGAGACUGUAAUCUCACUCUAAACAGCUCUCUAGCGGAUGCUCAUGAGUGGUGAUACAUCAUGCAAUUUUCUCCUUUAGAGACUCAGAGUGUCACCUCCACUGUGAUCCCUGCCCUGCCUGGCAGAUGCCAGUAAGUGAGAGCCCAAAGUUAGCCUCAGACCAGCGUUUCUUAUGUGACUGUGCACUGAUGCUGCAUAGCAAAGCAAUGCUGAGUCUGCAGGCCAGCCUGCCUGCCAGUGAUUAAUAUUUCCAUAUUGGCUAUUAUGCAUUUGCUGGAAGCAUUUUCCAUAACAUUAUUUUAAUAUCUUUAUUAUUUCCAAUAUAGAUAACAACAUACAUUUGAGUCAGAACUGCACAUUGUAAUCACUCAAACAUAUGAAACAGGUAGUGUCAUGCAGAGCUCUGUAUUACCACCUGUGCAGACUUGUAUUUGUAAUAAUGUACACAUGCUAACAAAAAAGCUAUACAUUUGACUUGAUAAGGAACGUUAUUGGCAUAAUAAGGAACGUUAUUGGCAUAAUAGAAUAAUCCCCAAUAGACCUGUGUAUUUCCAUAAUGCUAUUUAAUAUGCACAGAUGCAAACUAAUGCCCUGAUGAUGGUUUUUAGUGGGCAGAUCUAUCAAGUUCUCACACGUUCAAAUGCAAUACUGUGGCUCUAAGAGAGGAACUAGCAUGCAGCCUUGAAUAGUGUGUAACUCCACACUAAAAUGGUAACCCAAACACAGUUUACCCCACAGAAUUUUUCCUUCAUAUAAAAAUAAAUGCAAACUACUGUAUUUAUAUAUUAUUAACAGUUUGAUACAAACCCAUAGACAUCCGGAACUUAGAGCUGAGCCUCCCACUCUGAUGCUAACUCAUAUAUCAUUGUGUCUUCUCUCCCUCUGUCUAAAAGCAUGAUAAGAAUGGAAUGUCAACCUCAGCUUUUAAGUGCCUGAACCACAUGCUGCCCUCAGUCCUGCUCCCACGUUCCCCCUCCUCUUCCAUUCAUUUGAUUUCAUUGACAUUAUGUGGAUGCCACCAGGGACAGCAUUUGCACCCCUCCCUUUCGUCAGUUUGUGUAAUAACCUGAGCAUUGUCUACACACAGGGUUUUGUAUUUAAUAAUCUUCCCAGCUUAACUGUUUUCAUCUGACUCUCCCUCCUGAACUGAUAAAUCUAAAUUGCACAUUUUUUGAACAGCUUAGCUUAUAUCUUGCAGGUAUCCUUAAAUGACUGCCUAGUCUCUUUUGUACUUGUCUAGCACCAUCUACUGUAACUAUAUUAUACUGUCUUCCCUUUCUUUCGAGACUGCACGUUUAUGAUUCCUUCAGGAGUGUGCACUGGGGCUAAGGUGUUCACGGCAAAUCAUGAAGUCUGAAUCCAUUUCAAAGGCCACAUGCUCUUAUGAUAGAGAAGCAAAUGCAACAUGCACCCAUCCUGUACAUAGAAUGACCUGUAUUUGUCAAUUUAAAAUCAGUUUAGGUGAGAAGAGCUUCUUAGAUCUGCCAGUUUUCUAAUGGCAAGUUCUGCUCCCUCCUCAGCAGCUAGAGAGGACAGCAGAACAAGGGGAGGGGAGCAUCCCAAUCAAGAGGUCAGCACCCUUUGCGCACCACACAGCCCAGAUUCACUGAAAGCCACUGAGGCAGCGUGCACAAAAAGCUUUAAGAGCGGGGCAGGCAAGGCAGGGCACCCUCCUGUGCCAGCUCCACACAACAACAGAUCUUCUGGCCACUGCCAUCUACAAUGGGGAUGCUAGUUCAGCUGGGAUUUAUGCAAUCUGGGAGCCUCAAAAGGAGCUGUAGAAUGGGCCUGGAAGUGGGAGGAGUUUCCCAGCAAAAAAUCCUGUCCACUGCUGUUCUGUAGGGUGUGGGACGGGGAGGAACUCCCCAUAGAAUCCUCCUUCGUGCCCAGCCCUACAAUGCAGCAUUGACACAGGGGACAAAAUUUAGCUUUACAUAUUCUUAUUACAUUGUAUUUUUGUAGGUGGAUUUUGCACAGCAAAGGACUAGUACAGGUAGAAAGAGAACCGAAACCUCCUAGCUACUAUGACUUUUAUGGAUUUGUAUUAUUAUUAUUUAGUGGCAUCACAGUAACACCCAAAGGUCCCAUCGUCCUAGGAGCUGUAUGUUAUGAAGCUUUCUUUUUAAAAAUCUGAUUAGCUAAAGAGUAUCAUUUCUUUGGAUGGCAGAUUUAAACUCAUAAUACCAUUCAAUCUAUUCCAGAUAUGGGAUCUCCUGCAUUAUUAGUGGGAUUUGUAUAACAGCCAGAGCAUAAUAUAUGUCAUAUAUGCCUGGUGUGUGCACUUUCAUGGUGAAUACCAUAAACAUGCCUUACAGAACUCCAUUCCCAAAUCACCAGGGUAAAUUAUUUGUUUUGAUGGUGAGUGAAAUAUUUAGUUUUCUAUGAUUAUGAUAAUUGUAAAGGGUAGAAACUGAGGAGAUUUAGUGAUUCAUCUGGUAAAAUAUCAUGACAAUUUUGCAAGGCUGCCAUAAAGGUAGCUUAUUAACCUGAUAGUGUUUCUUGAUGGUGUUCUAAAAAGAGCUAAACUAUGCAUGCAUUCCAGCCAAAUGUAUGCAUUUGUUCUGCUGCAAUGUUUUAUCUCUGUUAGUGAAUUUAUCCUACCGUCCCAGCAUUCUGUAAGGGAAUGAUGCAAGAGACUGAAGACUACUCUCUCCAGGAUUACCUUGCAUUUGCUAGUCAAAAAUUAUUACAACAGCAUUUUCAUUUGCAUGUGUGAAGCGUCUCUGGAUUUUCAGUAAAUUUGUCUUUCAAAGCUG